AGAGUUUGAUCCUGGCUCAGGAUGAACGCUAGCUACAGGCUUAACACAUGCAAGUCGAGGGGCAGCAUGAUUGAAGCUUGCUUCAAUCGAUGGCGACCGGCGCACGGGUGAGUAACACGUAUCCAACCUGCCGAUAACUCGGGGAUAGCCUUUCGAAAGAAAGAUUAAUAUCCGAUAGUAUAUUAAAACCGCAUGGUUUUACUAUUAAAGAAUUUCGGUUAUCGAUGGGGAUGCGUUCCAUUAGUUUGUUGGCGGGGUAACGGCCCACCAAGACUACGAUGGAUAGGGGUUCUGAGAGGAAGGUCCCCCACAUUGGAACUGAGACACGGUCCAAACUCCUACGGGAGGCAGCAGUGAGGAAUAUUGGUCAAUGGACGAGAGUCUGAACCAGCCAAGUAGCGUGAAGGAUGACUGCCCUAUGGGUUGUAAACUUCUUUUAUAUGGGAAUAAAGUGUUCCACGUGUGGAAUUUUGUAUGUACCAUAUGAAUAAGGAUCGGCUAACUCCGUGCCAGCAGCCGCGGUAAUACGGAGGAUCCGAGCGUUAUCCGGAUUUAUUGGGUUUAAAGGGAGCGUAGGCGGGUGCUUAAGUCAGUUGUGAAAGUUUGCGGCUCAACCGUAAAAUUGCAGUUGAUACUGGGUACCUUGAGUGCAGCAUAGGUAGGCGGAAUUCGUGGUGUAGCGGUGAAAUGCUUAGAUAUCACGAAGAACUCCGAUUGCGAAGGCAGCUCACUAGACUGCAACUGACACUGAUGCUCGAAAGUGUGGGUAUCAAACAGGAUUAGAUACCCUGGUAGUCCACACAGUAAACGAUGAAUACUCGCUGUUUGCGAUAUACAGUAAGCGGCCAAGCGAAAGCAUUAAGUAUUCCACCUGGGGAGUACGCCGGCAACGGUGAAACUCAAAGGAAUUGACGGGGGCCCGCACAAGCGGAGGAACAUGUGGUUUAA
rnacentral:rRNA from 1 species